GUGGGGAAUAUUGGACAAUGGGCGAAAGCCUGAUCCAGCCAUGCCGCGUGUGUGAAGAAGGUCUUCGGAUUGUAAAGCACUUUAAGUUGGGAGGAAGGGCAGUAAGUUAAUACCUUGCUGUUUUGACGUUACCGACAGAAUAAGCACCGGCUAACUUCGUGCCAGCAGCCGCGGUAAUACGAAGGGUGCAAGCGUUAAUCGGAAUUACUGGGCGUAAAGCGCGCGUAGGUGGUUUUGUAAGUUGGAGGUGAAAUCCCCGGGCUCAACCUGGGAACUGCCUCCAAAACUGCAUGACUAGAGUACGGUAGAGGGUAGUGGAAUUUCCUGUGUAGCGGUGAAAUGCGUAGAUAUAGGAAGGAACACCAGUGGCGAAGGCGACUACCUGGACUGAUACUGACACUGAGGUGCGAAAGCGUGGGGAGCAAACAGGAUUAGAAACCCUGGUAGUCC
rnacentral:rRNA from 1 species